CCAAGGAGUCUAACAUGUACGCGAGUCAUUGGGACCGCAAAACCUAAAGGCGUAAUGAAAGUAAAGGUUGAACUUUGCGUCAACUAAGGGAGGAUGGAAUGCGUUUUGAUGCAUUCCCGCACUCCCGGGGCGUCUCAUACUUAUUGCAAGUAGAGGCGCACCCAGAGCGUACACGUUGGGACCCGAAAGAUGGUGAACUAUGCCUGGUCAGGACGAAGUCAGGGGAAACCCUGAUGGAGGUCCGUAGCGAUUCUGACGUGCAAAUCGAUCGUCGGAACUGGGUAUAGGGGCGAAAGACUAAUCGAACCAUC
rnacentral:rRNA from 1 species